CCAGUGUCCCCAGGAGGGGAACUCCAGCACUAACAUUUUACAAACAGGAAUUGGACUGGCACAACCUCUGAAUGUUAUGCUCUUCUCAGGUGUCUCUGUGGGCAUAAAAAGUCCAAGAUUUCUCGUCCUUUGGGGAAGUGGAAGCCUCAAUGCCUUCAGAAAGGUGACCUCACACGGCAUUUCUCCCCUGUCAGUCUUGAGCAUCUGUGGCAGAAUCACCAAGUGAAUCCAAAUCAUCAAACUUCCUCACAAUUAAAAGGAGUCUGCUCCCAUCUGCGAUCAUCCUGGCUGCUUUUCUCCAUGGCUUUACCAGUCAGGCUGGCCAGAUCUGCGAGUGGCAUUUGAGAGAGAGGAGUACCGUGUAAGCACAGGUAUGUGUUGCAGUAUCCAUUUCCUGGCUUAGUAAACCUUCUCUAACAGUUCCCCUCAUUUUAUUUGUAUUUCUGACCUCCUGUGAGUGCAUGACGUGGCUGCUUUUGGAGUCCUACCCAUCAUAACACAACAAACGUAGAAGCUAAUUUAGAGAGCUUGAUCACAUAUAGAUUAGGAGGGUUAGUUUAUCUUCUAAUUUAUCACUCACUUUCUUGAUACUGAGGUCCUUCUAUGGACAGGUUUAGAUUUGACUAUCCCGAGUAGUUCUGAAGUAUCUGCAAACUCAUCAUUUCACUGCUCAUCUCCAGCCCUACAGAGGCGCCGGCCUGCUCAGCUGCCGUGAUUUGUGAGGUCAGGGCAUGAACACCAGCUCCUGUCAUCCCCUGAACUUUUUAUGUGUUGACUGCACAGCUCAGUCAAACAGCAGCCAUGGAACUGAAGGAAUAGUUAAACAGAUUUAAGAAACAAUAUCAAGUACAACCGCAGAGGCAAAAGGAUCCUUGGUCACAAAAACGAUGGAGGUGUUUUCUUCAAAUAAAAAGAGGUUUAUUAAGAUAAUGAGAAUGACAUUGUGGUGUGGGUGUUGUACAUCUAUUGCAGCAUUAAGAGAAACAACAGCAAGUACAAAAUCCUGCAGAACUUCUAUAGUCAUUAUUAUCACAGCCUAUCUUGUCCAUGCUACAGUUUUGUGUAUCCAAAACUUCAUUCCCAUUUCUAAUGGCAGAAAAACCAGAGACUUUCAUCUUUCAAAAACAAAACAAAAAUGAAACAAAAUAAAACAACAAAAAAAAAAAAGAUUCAAUUCGAUAUAAAUAACUCGCACUGGACAUCUUAAAACUUUCAGAUUUAAUUACACAUAAAUAAAUAUAUACAGAUUUAGAACAGUUCAGUUUGGCCUGGUUCAAGUUCUGCUCCUUGUGCUUUAUUAAUUAUAAUUAUUAUUAUUAUUAAUUUUAGAAACUUCUGUGCUGUUAUCUGUAGGUUGUGGAGUUGUAAUAAGUCCCGGGUAUGACUUAACCUGCUUUAUCCCCUGCAGUAGCAGUCGGAAGCUCUCCGUGGUCGGUUCCUGCCCUGGGAAGGACCAGGGUGAGGUUUGUUCCUCCCCUCGUGGCACAGCCCUGGGAAACCCACGUGGAGUCUGUCUGAAAACUGUAAACGAAGUCUGAAACUGCUUCAAAUCCAAAGCAGUUCUGCUGGCAAUUUUCUCCUGGCCUGGCUUUAGGGCUGGUGGGGAAAUAGGAAGGUUUCCUCCGUGUCUGCCUGUUGAAACCAGCUGAUAAAUCCAGGUACAGCCAGCGACCCAACUCCCUGCCCUCUUCUGCUCGUUCCUCUGCUUCUUGCACUGAGGAGGCCUCUUCUCGCUCUUCUCAGAACAAAUUCCUGGAGCAUGUCAGGAUUUCGUUAUGGGCUUUCAAAAAAAAUAAAAUAAAAAAUGAAAAAUUGCACAUGACUUGGCUUCCUGCAUCCACGAUUUAAAAGAAAAAAAAAAAAAA